GUCCUCACGCGCGGCUCCGGGAGGGGAAGGAGGCUGACUGGGCUAGGCGGGAGCGGGGCAGCGCCACGGGCCGCAGCGCGCCGCGGGGACAAGGAGAGCAGAGCCGCCGCUGAGCUUUGUGGAAAUGAGGGGCUGGGGGGCGUCGACAGCCCCGGGGAGGGGGCGCGCCGGAGAGGCCGGGCGGCUGCGGCCGCGCCCAUAGGCCUCAGGAGCUGUUCGUCAACACGAGUCCCCGCCUCCUUCCACGGGUCCCCGCCCCGUCUCGUGCGGCGCUGGCCGGAAGGAAGCGGCACACUUCCGCUUGCCUGGCCUGCCUUGAGUCCGGUCUGUUCCGGAGACUCUGAGCGCCGCGGCGGAACCGUUCUCGUGGGGAGCGGGGUGCGAAUCCUGUGUUUGCGCACGCAGGCGCCGGUCACCUCAGGCCAGAGCUAGAGCUUGGGCUCGGGAGAGGAGGGCCCGGCGGCUCCGCGGAAGGGUCGCCUCGAGCCGCACGGCCCAGAGCAGCGGCUCAGCGGUGGCCUCCGGGGCUUGAGAAGGAGAUGGAGUUUCAUCAUGUUGCCUAGGCUGGUAUCAAACUCCAGGCCUCAAGCAAUCCUCCUGCCUUUGCCUCCCAAAAUGCUGGGAUUACAGUGAGCCACUGAUGUCUUGAAUUUCAAAAACUCUUAAGGCUGGAGUACAAUGGCGCGAUCUUGGCUCACUGCAAUCUCCGCCUCCCGGGUUCAAAUG